rnacentral:rRNA from 1 species
AGCAGCCGCGGUAAUUCCAGCUCCAAUAGCGUAUAUUAAAGUUGUUGCAGUUAAAAAGCUCGUAGUUGAAUUUCGGGAUUCUUCGGUUGGUCGGGCUAUCCGGUCUGUACUAGCGUGUAGAAUUCCUACCUUCUGGGAACCAUCAUGUUAUUAAUUUAGCGUGGUGGGAAACCAGGACCUUUACCUUGAAAAAAUUAGAGUGUUCAAAGCAGGCUUACGUCUGAAUACAUUAGCAUGGAAUAAUAGAAUAGGACGGUGGUCCUGUUUUGUUGGUUUCUGAAUCACCGUAAUGAUUAAUAGGGAUAGUUGGGGGCAUUAGUAUUCAAUUGUCAGAGGUGAAAUUCUUGGAUUUAUUGAAGACUAACUUCUGCGAAAGCAUUUGCCAAGGAUGUUUUCAUUAAUCAAGAACGAAAGUUAGGGGAUCGAAGACGAUCAGAUACCGUCGUAGUCUUAACCAUAAACUAUGCCGACUAGGGAUCGGACGAUGUUAAAUUUAUUGGCUCGUUCGGCGCCUUACGGG